rnacentral:rRNA from 1 species
CGUGUAGGCGGCCAGGUAGGUCCGUUGUGAAAACUCGAGGCUCAACCUCGAGACGUCGGCGGAAACCCUCUGGCUAGAGUCCGGAAGAGGAGAGUGGAAUUCCUGGUGUAGCGGUGAAAUGCGCAGAUAUCAGGAAGAACACCCGUGGCGAAGGCGGCUCUCUGGGACGGUACUGACGCUGAGACGCGAAAGCGUGGGGAGCGAACA